AGACUUGUACUUCAACCACAACUCAUCUUUCUUCCCUUAAACAAUCAAGAAGUUGAAAGCCAAGCAGCAUCAAGUCAAACAUCUGAGCGAUGCUUGUCUUAGAUUUGUGAUGUGGCUCAGACUGUGUUCCUUCGGGCUGGCUAGAAACUGACACAGAAACAUCACUUCCUGAGGGGUCGUGAGAAAUGGAAGAAGACGGAGGGAAGAGGACUACUGAGACACUGAGACUUUCAAACCCAUCUUCUCAGCCUUCUCCUUACCAUAAAAUGACACAGCAGUGUUUUCUUCUGUUACCAUGGUGUUCUGCAAAUGACUUCAGCUCACUAACUAGAAAUUAAAUGGGCAAACCUCUGAAAGUUUGGCAGUUUGAAUAAACAUCUGCAGGGAUCUGGCUGGACCUGGGGACAGGCUGUCCUUUGCAAAAGAAACCACAGAAAUUGCUUGAGACGCACCACUCUUCUAAGGGCUUGUGCUGAGUCUAAAGGAAAGAGUGUGAAGCAUGUAAUGUCUGCACCCAGAGAGAGGGGGAAGAGCUAUUUGGAAGGGACACCUGGUGACCGCAGUGGCCAUGGGGCCACCAGCCAGCCUGCUCUCCUGGGUGAUGCAGCCGACUGCAGCAGAACAACAUGAACAUGCUGUCAGAUGCCUUGCAUCUGUGUACUCUCAUUCCUGCUCUAUUGUGCAACUAUUCCACUCCAGUCUCAGCUGAGGCUUCAAGUGGGAAUAACCCAAAAUACCACAACAACAGCUGUUUUGUUGGAUUUUAUGGAGCUGAAACCCAGGAGUCCUGGAAAUCUUCAAAUAAAGCUUUUUCCCAUAAAAGAAACUUCCAGAUGCAUAAGCCUGAGUGUUUGUGAGCAGCUCAUGUCUGUGUAGUAAGCUUGCAUUUUUUAUGUCUUCCCCUUGUCAUUUCAUUUAUAAUAAAUGUGUAAUAACUUGCUAA